UACGUAGGCAGCGAGCGUUGUUCGGAGUUACUGGGCGUAAAGGGUGUGUAGGCGGUUGUUUAAGUUUGGUGUGAAAUCUCCCGGCUCAACUGGGAGGGUGCGCCGAAUACUGAAUGACUAGAGUGCGGGAGAGGAAAGUGGAAUUCCUGGUGUAGCGGUGAAAUGCGUAGAUAUCAGGAGGAACACCCGUGGCGAAAGCGGCUCUCUGGGACGGUACUGACGCUGAGACGCGAAAGCGUGGGGAGCAAACAGG
rnacentral:rRNA from 1 species